UUUAAUUUAAUUUUUUAUUUUUUAAAAUUUACAUCCAAAUUAGUUAGCAUAUAGUGCAACAGUGAUUUCAGGAGUAGAUUCCUUAGUGCCCCUUGCCCAUUUAGCCCAUCCCCCCUCCCACAACCCCUCCAGUGACCCUCAGUUUGUUCUCCAUAUUUAUGAGUCUCUUCUGUUUUGUCCCCCUCCCUGUUUUUAUAUUAUUUUUGUUUCCCUUCCCUUAGGUUCAUCUGUUUUGUCUCUUAAAGUCCUCAUAUGAGUGAAGUCAUAUGAUUUUUGUCUUUCUCUGACUGACUAAUUUCACUUAGCAUAAUACCCUCCAGUUCCAUCCAUGUAGUUGCAAAAGGCAAGAUUUCAUUCUUUUUGAUUGCCGAGUCAUACUCCAUUGUGUAUAUAUACCACAUCUUCUUUAUCCAUUCAUCCAUCGAUGGACAUUUGGGCUCUUUCCAUACUUUGGCUAUUGUUGAUAGUGCUGCUAUAAACAUGGGGGUGCAUGUGUCCCUUCGAAACAGCACACCUGUAUACCUUGGAUAAAUACCUAGUAGAGCAAUUGCUGGGUUGUAGGGUAGUUCUAUUUUUAGUUUUUUGAGGAACUUCCUUACUGUUUUCCAGAGUGGCUGCACCAGCUUGCAUUCCCAUCCCCACACAUCUAAAGAAAGGCAAGGUGGUGGAUGAAGGCUAGGGUACAGGGGUGACAUGAGGGACAUUCAGUCUUUUUUCUCAGUCUUGACCUGACUUCCUCCUGCCCUGCUUCCCAGAAAGCCACCCGAAUGCCACUGGGCUGGUUCCUCUUGGGGCACAGAGCUCCAAUGGAAUGUGAGGCUGUACUCUGGAGAUGGGAUUGUGUCAUGGGCCUGCAGUGUUUAUAAAUUGGAGGAUUUGAAGUAGUCAGAGGGUGAAGACCUAGGCCAAGAGGGGGUGCCCCUUGGCCCCAGUCUAGCCCCUCUUGGCCUCCUUGCACUAGAAAAGGGAGUGAUUAUUGUGUGCUGUUCUGGACCUUCUACCUGAACUUCUACCUUUCACCUGUUUCUGCCUCCUCCUGGCCCCAGCACCAGCACUCACUCCUGAUUUUUUACUGUUUUUCCAGAUCAGCUGAGACACUGCCCCCAUUCAGGAAUAUGGAGGUCUGAGGGGGCUCAGAGAAACUCACUCCCAGCCCUGCAUGGAUGCGUGUGUCCACUCAGUGCAGGGAGGGAAUAUUGUUCUCCCUUGUCCUGCUGGAUCCAGCCACUCCUCCUCAGAAAACUCCCUACAUAGAUCCAUUUACAGGGGACCACCUUCACUAGGACUUGACUUUCUACCCUCUGCCCUCCUAUCCCUCCUUGCUGCUCUUGCCCACCCUCUCCUCCCUUAUCUCUCAGAUGUCCACCCCUUUGCCCCCAUCUGGAAAAAAAUAGUUGGUCAGUUCCUGCCCCCCAUAGAGUCUCUAUUUCUUUGGUUUCAGCAGCUGUGCUGGACUGGUCAGACUCAGGCUCUGGGACUGACCCUGGUGUGGGGCACAUAGAGGGAGACAAAUCUCCGAACCCUCUUGUCUUAGGCCCUCUAGAAGCAGAGCUUGUGGCCAGGAUUCAAGUGAAAGCCCAGGGGGCUAAGGAUGAGGAAGAGGGAAAUAUGUGCACAGAAGACACAAAGCAAGGUGGUGCAAUGCCUUACUGUCUUGACUUGCUUCACAUGGGCCACAGAAAGACACUGCAGUUUGCUUGGCCAGAGUGUGUGCACUCAGCAUGCGGUGGGACUCCUCUAGAAGGCUGUAAGGAGGAAGCACACCUUGCAGUAGCCCAUAGCUUCUACCCACAACCUAUCCCCAUGGGGCAAGGUUCACAGCAAGCUUCUGGGUUCUGUCAACCAACCCUUGGUGGCAUUCAGAAACCACAAUGAAGUGUGGCCUUUCGUCUAAGCCUGAAGGUGGGGGGCAAUGUCAGAGAGAGUAGGGAGGUAGUCAAGUCAUUCGAGAAGAAAGGUUUCCAUCUCAAUAUGGUCCAGCCCUCGUGCCACUGAGAUCCAUUCACGCCCUUGCAUUAUAUCUGAUUUCCCUACUACAACUUGGGGCCUCCGGUUUUGUCCAAGAGAACAAAGCUGUCAUUACUUUUUCUGCAGAAAGGGAGGUACAGUCCACUGUAAACAAAGCCCCUUCAAGGUAAUGCUAGCUGUGAUCCCAAGGAAGAUAAAGACAGGAGGGUUAAUGAAGCAAGCCUUAGUCCCCACUACUGUAGCUGGUCCUGAUUCCAUAACUGAUCUUGUCUCCCUCCUUCUCUUAUCCUCAGUUAACCCUCUGCAGAUCUAAACUACUUGCCAGAUGAGAUUAUAUGGGCUUUCAUCCUUGGGAGCACUGAUCCCUUGGUUGCCUUCCCUUUGGGGAUUGUCACUGUUGAAGUUGUCCAUCGUCAAUUACAACUGGGUGGGAGUUUCUAAGAGAUGUCCAGUGAAACUCCUGGCAGGGUUCAGACACAGCCUUCCCUGCCCUUAUUGCAUCGAUAUGUAUUCUAUCUACUGCUCUUAUUCCUCCUGGCAAUCAGGAUCAAUGGCUUGACCAAUCCAGCAAUGAAUGUCCUUUUUUUGCUGUUGGUCCCCUGGCAUAAAGAGCAGUCACAGCUUCCAGUUUAGUAUGAAUGUUACUCUGUUCCCUGGUACAGUUGCCACUGCAUGGGAACUAGGACCCUUAACAAGCAGAGCCUAAAGUUUUGGGAACAAGAAGCAAAAACUGUGCAGAUCUGAGAGUGAGAUGGGCCACUUGCACUUCCACAUUGAUUAUGGGACCUGUAAUUUCCAGGUAUAGGGGACAAAGUGCUAUCAAACAAAUGCCAUGUCCAGAAGUUCUGGGCCCAAACCCACACGUGUCAUGUUUCUGCCAGCAACUUCUGAGCAUUCCACAGGCUGCUCCACUGUUCUGCCAGGCCCACUGCUUCUGGGUGAUGAGGUACAACUUAGUAAGACCAAUGUAUCUGUUGAAUUUACCACCAUCUCAUUACCUCAUAGCAUAUGCAAAAAUUAAUGCAAAAUGGAUCAAAAUCUAAAUGUAAGAGCUGAUGAUGUUUAAGUCUUAGGUGACCUCAUUAUUGUACCUUCCUUAUAGAAGCACUGUGGACAAGGAAGACAAACUCAAACCCCAAGCACACACUGGUUCUAGUAAGGACAAAUAACUGUCCCCUCCAGGGUAGAAGGAAGGGAUUCAGUGCAAGCCAUGUGCCACCAGGGACUAGGCUGGUCUGCUGAGGAAGAGAACCACACUAGGUGUUCAGCAUGGGGCUUGUUGUAGGCAGGUUGAGCCCUCAGAGUGGUAGGACGAGCUCAGCCUUAGUGAGGGGAGCCCAUGCUGUUGGACCCAUACAUGACCCCCAUUCCUGGCACCAUGACCAUUCUAAUCAAAAGCUAUUGUGCAGACAUUUGAGGUGGACAGGAAAAGAUUCACUCACCUCAUGAAUCAUUGUGUCUGCUUUGUUGACAGCCACCUGGCAUUUCUAUCUCCUUUCCUAUCUCAUUCCUAUUCUCCUGCUCUGCAGGGUGUUUGAGACCCAGAAGUUUGCACGCUUGGUGCCCACUUCCAAAAGUCUGUCCAUCUGUCUUUCCAUAGCCCUCUUUCUCAGUGAUCUUGGUUUUGUUCUUUCUAGGCUCCUGACCAAUGAGCCAAGCGAUUCACAACUUCCCAUGAGUCAGGGAAUAUCCACAUCUCAGACCACGUCUUCUUCUACAUGAAGCUGAUAACCAAAUGUACUGCUCAGAGUUUUUUGCGCACUGGAUAGUACUUCCCCUGACCACUGUCUUUUGGUGUCACCCCUCAGAGGGCCAUAAUAUGACAUCAGUCCACCUCAGACUCUCACCACCAUAUCACACUGACCAUCUGUGGGUCCCUUCCUUGUCAUUGGGUGAUCACAGGAACUCUGAGAAGCCACACAAGCUUUAUGACCCAAUAUCCCCCUCCACUCCUAUCUGCCUGUGACUUCCUCUCUAUUCCUGACUAUUGGGAAGUGGUCCCUCACCCCUCUGGCCUCCAAUUUCACUUCACACUCUUGUUGAACCAGGCCAGCAGGGAGAUGGGGUGCUACUUCCUCCUGGGCCUUGGGGGUAGGGUGCUGCCUUCCCAAUACCUUAGCAUCCUCACAGCAGUAACAAUAUGAUAACAACAUCAACAAUAGCUCCUGCGCAUGAGAUGCUCCUCGUGUGCCCCACAAUGUGCUAAUAGUCAGGGCCGAGACUAGAGCAAAAAGAACGAGGAGCUUAGGACACAAAUUUUAAGAAGAUCUCAGUGUCAUACAAGUCCCAAAUCCUUUAAAUUUUGGGUUCCAGGCAUUUGAUUUUGUCUAGUCUUGACCCUACUAAUAAACUCGUGGCAUAGAUUGUCUUCUUUCAUUCUCAUAAGUAAAUACUGUUACCCCCCAUUUUACAGAUGAGGUAACUGACUAGGAGGUUCAUUUGACAAAGUCACUCUGUUGGCAACUGGCACAGCCAUGUUUUUCUGACUUUAAGGCCUAAGCUCUUAGCCUCUCAGCUGUAUUAGCCCAUCUUAGCCUGGCCUGAGCCCUGUGGGAAGCUCCCUGAGGGUGAUCCUCCAGAAGAAUCGAAAUCCCACUCAGACGUGGGCCACAGGACCAGGUUGCACUGAUGCAGGAAGGCUGCAUCCGAGGAUCUAGGGGAGAGUCCAACAGGAUCAGUCAAGAGGAUCUUUGGCUUCACGCAGGAUAGAAGUCAAACGUGAGCCAGAGAAAGUGAAAACAGAGUUUGCUGAAUAGCAUGAGUGAGGAAAAUAGCAGACAGAGUGUCUAGGAGUCUUGGAAAGGAGAUAGGAAUGAGUUUUGUCGUUGCUUGGGGCCAUAGGGGGUUAUACUGAAAAAAGAUCUAGGGUAUGUGUUUCUUCAGGAGUCCAUGGUAGGGUCCAAUCAAAGGCGGGUGUCAGGUGAACAAUAGGUGUUAUUUCAUAAGUUACUGAAGAAGGUAGGGGUAUUGAUGCCAGCAUCAGCUGAGGUUUGUUUGAAGGUAAUGUCCUGGAACAUGUUUGGGAUCUGGCUCUUCUUAGAUGUUAUCAGGUGUUUGGGACCUAGGACAAAACUCAGAGAAAGAUUAACUUUCUUGCUUCCCCCACCCCUUGAAGUGGGAACAUAGCUUCUUCGGCUUAUUCACAGGCAAAAUAUGAAACAUGAGUAAAUGGGGCCCAGAGGAAAAACAGCAGAGAUGCAACCUUUCUGCCGCGGAGUGCCUUCAGCUUCCUUACUUCAGUACCACGCCUUUUCUCAGAGCUGGCAAAGCAGAAACACGUUUUGUGCAGGCAACCAGAGGAGGGGGCUGCGCCAGAAUGGGCAGGAAGGGGGCGCUUUCCCGAGCAUGUCCACUAGAUGGCUCCCCAACACCGAGUCACUGAGCUCGGGUGACCGAGUGGGCGGCCCCCCAGUGGAGAUUCGCAGAGCAAGGCCCUCCCCUCUCCUCUGGCCAGCCUUCCCAGGACCCGGGGUUGAGGGUCCCGACCCAGAUAUGAGCCUCGGCCGUCCUCCCGAGCUCUGCCCACCGACCCAGGUUUCAAACCCUCCUCUGCUCUCCCCACCCUCCGAAUCCUCCAGGGGAUGAUGGACUCAGGGCGCGGAGGCUUCCCGGGGCACACGGGAGAGCAUCUUCUCAAUUUCCUCUACGAAUUGAGUCGUGCCCAGCGCCUCCACAGCACUGCCUCUUGCCUCCGUUCCCUUCCUGAAUUCCCCAGGCCCUCCCUGUCACUCCCACCCUCUCAGCUUCUGCCAGUCUUCUGAGGCAGGGACCAUUAAGGCCGUUUCCACAGAUUUGGUGAUGCAAAUACAUGCAAAUAUAUGCAAAUCGCCAUGUAAAGGAGGCUUGCCACUGUGGUUCUAAGUGGCUGUCACAGCUUCUCUGACACCUGUUCUGAAAGACAGCUGCCCUGCCCCCCUCCUGCUCAGGAAUCUAUCUGAUAUUUACCCCCCUUUCUCUUCCAAAACUCUGGCUUCUGGUCCCCUUUCCUUCAGGGACCCUGGCUGGACACUUGGAGUCUUCUCUCCAAACUCUCUAGAGAGGGCAGGGAGGGAACCACAUCUUAUUGUGCACAGACUUUGGCCUCUGAAAAUUACACCAUUUCCUGGCUGUGUGGCCUUGGAAAAACAGCUAAACUUCUCUGAGCCUCAGUUUCAUCAGCAGCAGAAUGGGAAUAAUGAUAGUAUUCACCUCAUAAGGUUGUUGUAAAGAUUCCACUCAAUACUACACGUAAAGUGCUUAGCACAGUACCUUUGAAGAACAUAGGAAGUGCAUUGGCUAUUAACAAUGUGAUUAUCAUUGACCUUGCUGGUCAUCGUAUUCUGAGGGCUUGGGCUUUAAGACAGGUAUGCAGAUGGGCAGAGUUCUGGCAUGCGCACAUGGGGACUCAUCCUUGUGCAUGCAUGUGCAUACACGCGUGCACAGCUGACAGCCUCACGCACUGGCAGGGCACAUGCUCGGGUACACACACAUUCAGAAACACACACAGGAGGAGGCUGUGGGAGGUGGAAUCUGAGUCAUCGAGACCAGAGCUGUGGGUGGUGCUUUUGUCCUGAUUUCCGGGGCUCCACGCUCCAUUUCGAACAAGGAAAUGUAUGGGGGAUGGCACAGCCAAGCCUCCAACUGAAGCUAGUUGUGUGGGCCCUUUCUUGCAUCAGCCCCCUCCCCAGCUGGUCCCAACCCAGCUCUGUGUCGUCUAGGCUUCUCUUUUCUCUGACCUUAAUGCCACUAAGUCCCCACAGGUGGGGCUGGGCAGGCACACUGGGUCCUUGACGUCAUAGCACAAGCCCUGGAUGACAUCAUAGAGCAGGUGCUGCCUGCUCCCUGGAGCAUGCCCUAGGAGCUUGGUAAGUGUAGUGGGGAAGGAGGUUUGGGGGAGGUAACAUAUGGUGGUAGUUAAGAGCCCGUAAUUGGGAAGGAGACAGACCCAAGUUCAAUUAAGUCCUGGUUCUGCGUGACCUUUGGUAGUUUCCUUAAGCUCUUUGGAUCUCAAUUUCUUCACCAGUAGAAUGAGGUCAGUCAUACCUAACUCAGAGGGUUUUUGUAUCUUUUCAAUGAGAUAAUGCACAUAAACAUGUACUUUAUUCAGUGCUGCAUGUACUGAAUGUUCAUAUGUGGCUGUCAUUGUGGAUGAUGCUUAUUGAAGGUGAGAGCAGAUUUUCUGGGCAGACCCACCCCUAGCAGUUUUAUCUAUUUCCUGUAGAGCUGCCCCUCCUCCCACACCACUCAGGCCAGGAGGGAAGGAGAGGGCAGUGCUGCCUGGUACAUGGGGUCUCAGAGGGCCACGUCCUAGGUUUGACAUGGGUGGAGAUAUCAUGCAUGUGUCUCGGGAGACAGGUUCAGCCAGCUUUUCUUCUCUCACUGGGAGAUUCUGGUCAAGAUGGGACAGAGUCUUGAAAGUUCUUUCUUUAGAAAGAAAGACACUACCAUUUACUGUAUACCUACGAUGUGCCAGGUACCAUGCUGGGUGCUAUUCCACGUGAUCUCUUUUUACCUUCCCAGCAGUCCUGUGAAGUAGCUCCUGGCAUCCCCAGUGCACGAGACAAGGAGAAAAUGAGCGACUUUCCCAAGGACACAGAGUGGGGAGACAGAGGAGGGUCUGAGUGUCCUUCCUGCACUGACUAUCUUUCACCAGGAAUGAAUUCUGAGCUCACGUUCUGGACCGCUGCCAGGAAGAAGGAAGCGACGUUAGUAUAAAGAAUCACACAAAAGGCCGCAGGAAGUUGCCACCUCAUUCUACAUAUACACUGGGAGCUACUUCUUUGAGAGCCCCCAAGUUUAAAGGAAAAGCUCCCUUUCCUUUGGGGAGCCUACUGGGGACAAUUCCCCCACCUAACCCAGGAUCCUAGAGGAAGAGGAAGACAGCAACAGAUGUGAGGAGGAGAAGGACCCCUCCCUGCCCCAUGCUCAGGGGCCUCUGCUCCCUAACCGUUGAUGUUUCUUCAGCUGUAUGCCGUGGAGAUGUUGGCCAGGAGUGAUCAACAAAGUGACUCCUCAAAGCUACGAAGAAGCAAGCCUGACCCCAGACCUGGUGGUUCAGGACCAUGGAGAGCAUCCUACAUAGAGUGGCCACUUUUUAUGGACUCAGGAGGAAAGCCUGCUAAGAGGCCUGAGUGAGACAACCCAAGCUGUUUGUCAUCUACCCCAGGAGGCUGCAGCUCAUCUUCCCACCCAGAGCCUCGGUCCCUGGCCCUGUCAUCCCUGCCGGUCACUGCAGUUUCUGUGGAUCUGGGAAAAGGGUGGACCAAGGAAAAGAAUCUGGAACUGGUGUUUGCUCCUGCCUGCCCUGAGAACUUGAGGGCCCAGAGGCUUUUACUACCCACCCCCACUUUGCUAUAUGUGGCUAUGGUCACCUCACCAUCCUCACACUAGCCUGGUCAUGACAAUGGUCAUGAGCCCCAUUUAGUAGAUAAGCAAAAUAAGGUGCAGAGAAGUAAAACCACUUGUUGAAGGCAUACCUCUUCAACAAAGCCAGGAUUCGAACCUAAGUUUGCAUGAUUUUUUCCCCCUAAAAUUCCACCUCUAGGCAAGUGGGUAACAUUGGCUGUGCACACUAACCAGCUGUGUGGCUCUGGACAAAUAAGUGCCUUUUCCUUGCUGGACCUCCAUUUUCCUAUUUAUAAAAUGAAAAGGUGUAUUUUGAAGAAGGGGGCCAGUGAGGACAGACUGUGAUCAGAGGGUACUCUGACUGAGGGCAAGACAGUGAACAGUUUCCUGGGGGGAAACUGCCAGACCCUGGGGGGCACCCCAAGAUGUCAAAAUGCUCAGCAGGUGUGGGCUCCUCUGUAGGCUAUAGUGAUGGGAUUGGGGUGGAGUCUGGGGGAGGCCAGGCACUGAAACCAAAUCCUGCCUGCUGGGGAGGGAGAGCAGAGGGAGGUCUGGGGUAGAGAGUAGGGCUGGUUGGGCAGGCCAAAGCCAAGCAGGCAGAGCCAGGCAGGCAGAGCAGAAUGAGGCUCAAAGCUCUAGGGCUUUACAAAUGGAUUUUGCUGAAAUGGAAAUUUCCACCCAUCCCUGAAAUGAGCCUGGCAGUGAAGCCAGGUCUGGUAGGGCUGCAGCAGCUGGGGAUGUGGACAGGGACAAAAGCCAAACUGUCAAAACUCCUCAGACCUACCCACCCCUCCCCUUGUUACCCGUAUUCCUCUCCCUCCACUCCUCUCCCCUGCUCAGGUCCUCUGGAUCCUCAGGAAUCUUCAGAAUCCUCACACCUUUGUGUACCUUUCUCACUUUCUCCCUCAACCACUUUGUGCCCCUUACACCCCUGCACACCUGACACGCCCUCCCCCUCCCACUCGUUCUCACACUGCCUUUUCACCCCUCACACCCCUCACGCCUCCCCGCCCUCCACCUCACACACCCACACACACCUGACACUCUCUCCACCUCCUACUUUAUCCUCAUACUGCCCUUUCACCCCUCACCUCCUCUCCUUCCCUUACCUGGGCUCAUACCACUCCCCCAUACACCCUCUCCCAUACCUGACACACCCCUCACCUCCUGUUUCACUCCUUGCACUUCACUGCUCCUGGGCUUACACCCUUCACUCCUCACACACUUUUUCCCUCCACUCCUCACCCCUUCCUCACACCACUUUCUGGAACCCUCUCCUGCUCCUGACACCCCAUCACCCCUGGUUUCACUCCUCUCACCUACUUAUUGCCCUCCAUCAGUAACCAUGAGGGCCAAAUAUCUCCUGGUGAAGAGCGGGGUGCUACACCCAGGACUCCUGAGGGCUGCUGUGUGAAUGAGCAGGCCAAGGCUUGCCAGGCCCUUGCCUCACACACAGGAAGUGCCCCAUGUAAGUGUUGAUCUUGUUUGUUGCCAUGUUUGUAGCUAAUUGAUACUUUGUGCCAGGCCCUUUGCCCCACAGUGCUGGGUGGGAGUGUGUGUGUGGGGAGCAUAUGUGCCAUGUCAGGAGAGCUGGUGAAAAUACCAAAAACUGUUCUGGGGAGGGGCCAGGGAUAAAUCUGAUCGAGCAGGUCCCUAGGGCUCGAGUAAUGGUAGAAGUGCUAACUAGACUACUGGGAAAUGUGAGCCACGCCCAUCAUUAAAGAGGUGCCCGCUAACAUGUGGCAGUGGGGCUCUCCCUCCGCAGCUCCCACCUCCAGACAAACCAGAGGGAGACACUCUAACCUGGGCAUGCUUUCCUCCCUAGGCCACUGCACUGGGGUGUGGAGGGCAGGGAGGGAGAGGGGAUGCUGCCUUCCUAUCACCAAGAAGUUCUCACAGAAGUUGAGAGGAAGAGGACAGGGGACUGCCUGAGAUGGGGAGGGUCUCUGGAGGGUCCCCCUCCUGGGUGAGUGAGGAAAAUGGAGGGAAACAGAAUACAGGAGCCAAAUGUAGGAGGCAGAAGGGA